AACGAACGCUGGCGGCAGGCCUAACACAUGCAAGUCGAACGCCCUAGUAAUAGGGAGUGGCAGACGGGUGAGUAACACGUGGGAACCUUCCCUAUAGUACGGAAUAGCCCAGGGAAACUUGGAGUAAUACCGUAUAAGCCCGAGAGGGAAGAUUAUCGCUAUAGGAUGGGCCCGGCGUAGGAUUAGCUAGUUGGUGAGGUAACGGCUCACCAAGGCAACGAUCCUUAGCUGGUUUGAGAGAAUGACCAGCCACACUGGGACUGAGACACGGCCCAGACUCCUACGGGAGGGCAGCAGUGGGGAAGUCUUGGACAAUGGGCGGCAAGCCUGAUCCAGCCAUGCCGCGUGAGUGAUGAAGGCCUUA
rnacentral:rRNA from 1 species